rnacentral:rRNA from 1 species
GACGAACGCUGGCGGCGUGCUUAACACAUGCAAGUCGAGCGGUAAGGCCCUUUCGGGGGUACGACGAGCGGCGAACGGGUGAGUAACACGUGGGUGACCUGCCCUCAGCUCUGGGAUAAGCCUGGGAAACCGGGUCUAAGUACUGGAUAUGACUCCAUGACGCAUGUUGUGGGGUGGAAAGCCUUGUGCGGCUGAGGAUGGGCCCGCGGCCUAUCAGCUUGUUGGUGGGGUGANGGCCUACCAAGGCGACGACGGGUAGCCGGCCUGAGAGGGCGACCGGCCACACUGGGACUGAGACACGGGCCCAGACUCCUACGGGAGGCAGCAGUGGGGAAUCUUGCGCAAUGGGCGAAAGCCUGACGCAGCGACGCCGCGUGAGGGAUGACGGCCUU